UACGUAGGUGGCAAGCGUUGUCCGGAUUUAUUGGGCGUAAAGCGUGCGCAGGCGGCUUCUCAAGUCAGGGGUGAAAGCCCAGAGCUCAACUCUGGAAUUGCCUUUGAGACUGAGUGGCUUGAGUACGAGAGAGGUGAGUGGAAUUCCCAGUGUAGAGGUGAAAUUCGUAGAUAUUGGGAAGAACACCGGUGGCGAAGGCGGCUCACUGGCUCGUAACUGACGCUCAUGCACGACAGCGUGGGGAUCAAACAGG
rnacentral:rRNA from 1 species